rnacentral:rRNA from 1 species
AGCAGCCGCGGUAAUUCCAGCUCCAAUAGCGUAUAUUAAAGUUGUUGCAGUUAAAAAGCUCGUAGUUGAAUUUCGGGGUUAGUAAGUUGGUCGUGCCUAUGGUAUGCACUGGCUUUACUGAUUCCUCCUUCCUGAAGAACCGUAAUGCCAUUAAUUUGGUGUUGCGGGGAAACAGGACUGUUACUUUGAAAAAUUAGAGUGUUUAAAGCAGGCUAACGCUUGAAUACAUUAGCAUGGAAUAAUGAAAUAGGACGAUCGAUCCUAUUUUGUUGGUUUCUAGGAUUGACGUAAUGAUUAAUAGGGAUAGUUGGGGGCAUUAGUAUUCAAUUGUCAGAGGUGAAAUUCUUGGAUUUAUUGAAGACUAACUACUGCGAAAGCAUUUGCCAAGGAUGUUUUCAUUAAUCAAGAACGAAAGUUAGGGGAUUCGAAGACGAUCAGAUAUCGUCGUAGUCUUAACCAUAAACUAUGCCGACUAGGGAUCGGAUGAUGUUAAUUUUAUAAUGA